GCUUAGCAUAGUGACGCGUGUUGAGCGGGACACGUGUCACUUUAAUCAUCUCCUCUUUCUCUGCUUUUGCUUCCGCCUUAUCGUUGAAAACCAAUGCAUCUGUUGUCGGUUCAAAUAAAAUUUCAAGCCCAGAAAAUGUAUGGUUUUCUGGUCUCUGACCAAUCUUGAGGAAAUGGUAUGCUAUCGAAUCUAAUUGACGAUUUUUUUGUAUGAUUGUUUGUUAUUAAGAUUGGGAUUUGGAAUCUUAGGGUUUUGGAAUUAAUUUGUUUGGUUUUUGUGCGGAUGCAACUCGGCAACGACAAGUUGAUCACAUCCUGAGUUUUCCGACUGAUUUAUUCAAUCCUAUCGGUUCUGAUUUUUUCCCUCCAUAGUUUCUCCAGCACCAUUUGCCUUGCUCUCAUCACAGCUUCUUUCAGUUCCUCAGGUGGAAUGGUGAAUGUGAGUUUCUUUUACAGUUUUUCAAGGGGAAGAGCUUCAGAGACAGUGGACUCUUCCGCUAUUCCUCCCCAAUCACUUUUACCAAUACAGUGGACUUUUCCCCUAUUCCCCUAUUCCUCCCCCAAUCACUUUUACCAAUCUGCACAACCCAAAUUGAGAGACGGUACUCUUCCCUGAGGUUGUGUUUGAGCAUUGUACAAAGGAAAGAGAGUAUGGGGAUAAAGGAAAGAGAAGAUGCUGUGAUCAUCCGGCUCCAUCGAUUUGUUA